AGAGUUUGAUCCUGGCUCAGAUUGAACGCUGGCGGCGUGCUUAACACAUGCAAGUCGAGCGCCCCGCAAGGGGAGCGGCAGACGGGAGAGUAACACGUGGGAACGUACCCUUUGGUUCGGAACAACCCAGGGAAACUUGGGCUAAUACCGGAUAAGCCCUUACGGGGAAAGAUUUAUCGCCGAAGGAUCGGCCCGCGUCUGAUUAGCUAGUUGGUGGGGUAAUGGCCCACCAAGGCUACGAUCAGUAGCUGGUCUGAGGGGAUGACCAGCCUCACUGGGACUGAGACACGGCCCAGACUCCUACGGGAGGCAGCAGUGGGGAAUAUUGGACAAUGGGCGCAAGCCUGAUCCAGCCAUGCCGCGUGGGUGAUGAAGGCCCUAGGGUUGUAAA
rnacentral:rRNA from 1 species